GUCGAACGCAGUAGCAAUACUGAGUGGCAAACGGGUGAGUAUAAUGUGGGAAUCUGCCUUUUGGUUUGGAACAACACGGGGAAACUUGUGCUAAUACCGAAUAAGCCCUUACGGGGAAAGUUUUAAUGCCGAAAGAUGAGCCCGCACUUGAUUAGCUAGUUGGUAAGGUAAAGGCUUACCAAGGCUACGAUCAAUAGCUGUUCUUAGAGGAAGACCAGCCACAUUGGGACUGAGACACGGCCCAGACUCCUACGGGAGGCAGCAGUGGGGAAUCUUGCACAAUGGGGGAAACCCUGAUGCAGCGAUGCCGCGUGAGUGAAGAAGGCCUUUGGGUUGUAAAACUCUUUCGUCGGGGAAGAAAAUGACUGUACCCGAAUAAGAAGGUCCGGCUAACUUCGUGCCAGCAGCCGCGGUAAUACGAAGGGACCUAGCGUAGUUCGGAAUUACUGGGCUUAAAGAGCUCGUAGGUGGUUAAAAAAGUUGAUGGUGAAAUCCCAAGGCUUAACCUUGGAACUGCCAUCAAAACUUUUUAGCUAGAGUGUGAUAGAGGUAAGUGGAAUUUCUAGUGUAGAGGUGAAAUUCGUAGAUAUUAGAAAGAACACCAAAUGCGAAGGCAACUUACUGGGUCACUACUGACACUGAGGAGCGAAAGCAUGGGUAGCGAAGAGGAUUAGAUACCCUCGUAGUCCAUGCCGUANACGAUGUGUGCUAGACGUUGGAAAUAUAUUUUUCAGUGUCGCAGCGAAAGCAUUAAGCACACCGCCUGGGGAGUACGACCGCAAGGUUAAAACUCAAAUGAAUUGACGGGGACCCGCACAAGCAGUGGAGCAUGUGGUUUAAC
rnacentral:rRNA from 1 species